UACGGAGGGUGCAAGCGCUAUCCGGAUUCACUGGGUUUAAAGGGUGCGUAGGUGGGAAUGUAAGUCAGUGGUGAAAUCUCCGUGCUUAACAUGGAAACUGCCAUUGAUACUAUGUUUCUUGAAUUUUCUGGAGGUAAGCGGAAUAUGUCAUGUAGCGGUGAAAUGCUUAGAUAUGACAUAGAACACCAAUUGCGAAGGCAGCUUGCUACAGGGAUAUUGACACUGAGGCACGAAAGCGUGGGGAUCAAACAGG
rnacentral:rRNA from 1 species